GAGCCCAGGCACUGCUGAGCUUGGCCUGCAUGUGGCAGAGCUGGGAACGACUUUGCCCUUCCUCCAUCAGCCCAGAGGCCGGGAGUUGGGCCCUCAGCAUGGGGAACUGGCCCGCUGACAUCUCAUAAGACGAAAUUUGCUCCGCAGACAGCUGUGCAUGUGCGUGUCGGUCGUGGGGACACUGGGCCUGCAUGUGGGCGGUGGCACAGAGACAGCCGGGGUGGUAGUUCUCCAACAAGGGGGAGAACCCUCCAGAAACUCAAGCUCCGACAGCCGCUUCUGCCUCAGAAACUUUCCAGAGCGAUCCUGUGUCUGAAAGUCCCUCAACACCUGCCCUGCCCCAUGGAGCUCAAGACACCAGGAGAGAUCUCUAAACAGAAGUUGGCCCCUAAUCUGUCCAUCAAUUCAGGAAAUGACAGUAAUGACCAGUAGAGUGGAACUGACCUCACGGCCUCAGACCGCCAUCGGGCCCCACCAAAGCCAGCCAGAGACUUCGCAGACUCUGCUCUGUGCUACGA